rnacentral:rRNA from 1 species
UACGGAGGGAGCUAGCGUUGUUCGGAAUUACUGGGCGUAAAGCGCGUGUAGGCUGCUCGGAAAGUCGGAUGUGAAAGCCCUGGGCUCAACCUAGGAAGUGCAUUCGAAACUACCGAGCUGGAGUUCUGGAGAGGAAGGCGGAAUUCUCGGUGUAGAGGUGAAAUUCGUAGAUAUCGAGAGGAACACCGGUGGCGAAGGCGGCCUUCUGGACAGUGACUGACGCUGAGACGCGAAAGCGUGGGGAGCAAACAGG